GACAGAGGUGCCAAGCGUUAGGCGGAAUCACUGGGCUUAAAGCGUGUGUAGGCGGAUCGUUAAGUACCUUGUGAAAUCCCACGGCUCAACCGUGGAACUGCUGGGUAUACUGGCGAUCUUGAGCCACCUAGGGGCGAGCGGAACAAGCGGUGGAGCGGUGAAAUGCGUAGAUAUCGCUUGGAACGCCGACGGUGAAAACAGCUCGCUGGGGGUGUGCUGACGCUGAGACACGAAAGCCAGGGGAGCGAACGGG
rnacentral:rRNA from 1 species